rnacentral:rRNA from 1 species
GACGAACGCUGGCGGCGUGCUUAACACAUGCAAGUCGAGCGGAGCGGCGAACGGGUGAGUAACUCGUGAGUAACCGCCCCCCUCUCUGGGAUCACAGUUGGAAACGGCUGCUACUCCCAGAUAGUGGGGGAUGACUCGCGUCCUAUCAGCUUUGGGGUGGGGUAGUGGACUACCAAGGCGAAGACGGGUAGCCGGCCUGAGAGGGCGACCGGCCACAUUGGGCUGGGAUACGGCCCAAACUCCAACGGGAGGCAGCAGUGGCGAAUAUUGCACAAUGGGGGAGACCCUGAUGCAGCAACGCCGCGGGCGGGAUGACGGCCUUCGGGUUGUAAACCGCUUUCAGCCAUGACGCGGUAGUGGCAGAAGAAGCACCGGCUAACUACGUGCCAGCAGCCGCGGUAAUUC